rnacentral:rRNA from 1 species
UACAGAGGGGGCAAGCGUUGUUCGGAAUUACUGGGCGUAAAGGGCGCGUAGGCGGCCUGCUAAGUCGAACGUGAAAUCCCCGGGCUCAACCCGGGAACUGCGUCCGAGACUGGCGGGCUUGAAUCCGGGAGAGGGAUGCGGAAUUCCAGGUGUAGCGGUGAAAUGCGUAGAGAUGUGGAGGAACACCGAUGGCGAAGGCAGCCCCCUGGGCUAACACUGACGCUCAUGCACGAAAGCGUGGGGAGCAAACAGG